rnacentral:rRNA from 1 species
AUGGAGACACUCAUUUCUGCAGUUCUUGGUGAUCUUGCUGGCAGAGCCAUAUCAUUCAUGGUAGACAAGUGCCGUGAGCAGAGAACCGAGGAAGACGAUCUGCAGAGGCUGCAUCAGCUGCUUCUGAGGUCACGUGUCAUCAUCGAGGAGGCUGAGGGGCGGUGUAUCACCAACCAAGGGAUGAUCUGUCAGGUUAGCAUUAUGAGAAAGCAAAUGUUCAGAGGGUACUACCUUCUCGACACCUACAAGUGCAGAGAGAAGAAGACCAGCAAUGAGGAGGUGAGUCGCUCCCUGUUCGUUCAAUCCAAAUUUAAUCCCGCAAAGCGCUUUCGCCGCCUUUCUAGCAGCACUCAAAUUGAGAGCAUAGAAGUUGGUAGAGACAUCAGGAAGGAGUUGAAACAAGUUGUUCUUGCCCUGGAAAGCAUGGUUGCUGAUAUGAAGGAGUUUGCUAUAUUUCUAACGAGCUAUCCUCGCAUGUGCCGCCAACCUUAUAGUGCAUAUUUAUUUUUUGACAAGUGUAUGUUCGGUCGCCAAAUGGAGAGGGAACAAGCCAUCAGCUUUUUGCUACAAGCUGAGCCUCUAGGGGGUGAGAAUUUGGGUGUCCUUCCGGUCGUUGGUCCUGGACUUAUUGGGAAGAGCACCCUUGUGGCACAUGUUUGUGACGAUGAGCGUGUGCGCAAUCACUUCUCCUCGAUCUUGCUCUACAGCGGAAAUGACCUUAAAGAUGAAACUGCAAUGACUUUUAGAGAUCAUUGCGUGAUCAAGCAUCAAAAUAUUGCCUCGGGUAAAGAAAGGUCAUUGGUUGUCGUAGAGCUCUUUAGGGGAUGUGGACGAAGAUGCAUGGAAGAGCCUGCUGCAUUCUGCUGA